UCUCCGUUGGUGAGCCAGCGGAGGGAUCAUUACCAGAGUUUUACAACUCCCAACCCUUAUGUGAACCUACCUAUCGUUGCUUCGGCGGACCCGCCCCAGCGUCCGGAGGGCCCCGCGCCGGCCCGCGAGCUGGACCCAGGCGGCCGCCUGAGACCACACAAUCCUGUACCCAUCAGUCCCUCUGAAUCCGCCGCAAGGCAAAACAAACGAAUCAAAACUUUCAACAAUGGAUCUCUUGGUUCUG
rnacentral:misc_RNA from 1 species